CUCUUUUCAUAAAUUCCCCAUAAAAAACAAGUCAUUUGUUUAAAUGUUAUGAACAGGUUAGGAAUCAGGGAAAAAAAUGGACAGAUAUAAGACUUGGAUGGUAAAGCUAAAUAUGGGAAAACCAGCAACAAAGCACAUGAAAGUGUGUUCACUACAUUGUAAUCAGGAUGAUUUCAUAUUGAGGAUUUGAUUUGAGGACCCAGGUGGGUUAGUUAGCUUCGUGCUUGCCCACUACACCUUGGGUCGUGGGUUCGAUUCCCGCCUUGCCUUUUGGGUGUUGUGUAUGUCAUGUUUCCUGUAAUUGGGCCUCCAGCUUGUUAGAGACAUCAUAGGAUAAAAUAAAUAAAAAUAUUACCUGAUGUAAGUAUCAUUACUAAAGAAUUACUACCUAGAAGGCCCAAAAAUCGAGACUUUAAAGCAGUCAGAAGUACAACAAUGAGAAAAUCUGAAGGUUACAUAAUUUCAAGUACAGAUAGUACUGAUGUAAAUUGCUUCGACAGCAGUCAGUUACAUCAAAAAACUGUUUCAACAUUAGAAAUGGAAACCGUGCAGGCUUUGUUACAUUUACAAAAUUCACAAAAAAAGGAUAAAAAUAUUCAAGUGACAAGUGGAGAUUUAGUGGCACCUUUUAUAAGUACACUUAAAUCUGAUAAUGAUUUAAAUACAAUGGCUGGAAUACCAUCCUUUCUGUUAUUUAAUGCUAUUGUUGCAAAUUGUGAGAUGUUUGGAAAAUUCUGUAAUAAACAUAAAUUAAACUUGAAAGAACGUGUUCUGUUAACUUUUAUGAAACUGAAAAAUACAUUUUCUUAUGCUGUUUUA